ACAUGUCAACACAGACUAAGUUUUUUUAACUUGUUCUGCUGUUUGGAUGUUGGAGGCUUGCUGGCAGUCUUUUGUCAGCUCCUUUUAAAUUCAUUAGCAGAGACCUUGCAUAACUGGCUUCAGUUUGAUAAGAUUGAACUGCUGCUAGGGAUCCAUGCAUAACGUUCUCAGCUUCUAACUGUCCAUUGACUUGGACUGUCUCUUCUGAGGCAAACAAUCUGACAAC
rnacentral:misc_RNA from 1 species